AUUGAACGCUAGCGGCAGGCCUAACACAUGCAAGUCGAGCGGAGCGGCGGACGGGUGAGUAAUGCCUAGGAAUCUGCCUGGUAGUGGGGGAUAACGUCCGGAAACGGGCGCUAAUACCGCAUACUAAAAUAUGAGUCUAGGUCGGAUUAGCUAGUUGGUGGGGUAAAGGCCUACCAAGGCGACGCUCCGUAACUGGUCUGAGAGGAUGAUCAGUCACACUGGGACUGAGACACGGACCAGAUUCCUACGGGAGGCAGCAGUGGGGAAUAUUGGACAAUGGGCGAAAGCCUGAUCCAGCCAUGCCGCGUGGGCGAAGAAGGUCUUCGGAUUGUAAAGCACUUUAAGUUGGUAGGCGUUACCAACAGAAUAAGCACCGGCUAACUUCGUGCCAGCAGCCGCGGUAAUAC
rnacentral:rRNA from 1 species